rnacentral:rRNA from 1 species
AGUGAACGCUGGCGGUAGGCCUAACACAUGCAGGUCGAACGGCAGCACAGUAAGAGCUUGCUCUUACGGGUGGCGAGUGGCGGACGGGUGAGGAAUACAUCGGAAUCUACUUUUUCGUGGGGGAUAACGUAGGGAAACUUACGCUAAUACCGCAUACGACCUACGGGUGAAAGCAGGGGAUCUUCGGACCUUGCGCGAUUGAAUGAGCCGAUGUCGGAUUAGCUAGUUGGCGGGGUAAAGGCCCACCAAGGCGACGAUCCGUAGCUGGUCUGAGAGGAUGAUCAGCCACACUGGAACUGAGACACGGUCCAGACUCCUACGGGGGGCAGCAGUGGGGAAUAUUGGACAAUGGGCGCAAGCCUGAUCCAGCCAUACCGCGUGGGUGAAGAAGGCCUUCGGGUUGUAAAGCCCUUUUGUUGGGAAAGAAAAGCAGCAGGUUAAUACCCCGCUGUUCUGACGGUACCCAAAGAAUAAGCACCGGCUAACUUCGUGC